CUCAUAACCACGACUUACCGGGUCGGAGCCACUUCGAUACUCAAGCGAACAGAGCAACAGGCGUUGAAAUGUCAAAACGAAACGUCAAAAAUAAAAUCAAAAGUCAAAACAUUGGACAAAAGAAAUAUAACCUUCAGAGAUUAAAUCCUAUAAAACCAAGUAAAGGAAGAAUGCUAAGGGAAAGCAAGCAGGGUAUAGCGAAUAAUGAAUCGCCACCCAUUUCACAUACGAUAACAAGUGAUACCAUAAUUUCUCAUUCAGCACAACAGAUUGGACUCAAACCGAGAUUACACAGCACCAGAACCAAACAGUCGGAAUACAUUACAGGGUGCAAGGAAAACUAGAAGGGAUUUGUAAGGAACAAGUCUGGAAAAUAUAUACGUCUUGGGACAAAGUUCUACAUCACUACUAUAAUAGUCCAUUAAAUAAAAUUUUACUAAUAAGUUACUAUAUUUAAUAUUAUACUCAAUAAAUAUUUAAUGAUGUUAUUACAAAA